UACGUAGGGCGCAAGCGUUGUCCGGAAUUAUUGGGCGUAAAGAGCUCGUAGGCGGUCUGUCGCGUCGGCUGUGAAAACCCGGGGCUCAACCCCGGGCCUGCAGUCGAUACGGGCAGACUAGAGUGUGGUAGGGGAGACUGGAAUUCCUGGUGUAGCGGUGGAAUGCGCAGAUAUCAGGAGGAACACCGAUGGCGAAGGCAGGUCUCUGGGCAUUAACUGACGCUGAGGAGCGAAAGCAUGGGGAGCGAACAGG
rnacentral:rRNA from 1 species